rnacentral:rRNA from 1 species
UAGGGAAUAUUGCACAAUGGAGGAAACUCUGAUGCAGCCAUGCCGCGUGUGUGAAGAAGGCCUUCGGGUUGUAAAGCACUUUCGGAGGGGAGGAACAAAUGACGUUACCCUCCAGAAGAAGCACCGGCUAACUCCGUGCCAGCAGCCGCGGUAAUACGGAGGGUGCAAGCGUUAAUCGGAAUAACUGGGCGUAAAGGGCAUGCAGGCGGUUUAUCAAGUAGGAUGUGAAAGCCCCCGGGCUCAACCUGGGAAUUGCAUUCUAAACUGAUAGACUAGAGUAUUGCAGGGGGAGACGGAAUUCCAGGUGUAGCGGUGGAAUGCGUAGAUAUCUGGAAGAACACCAAAGGCGAAGGCAGUCUCCUGGGGC